ACAGGGUGUCUCCGCAUCCUCCUCCUCUCCUGUUCCCUACGUAGGGUGAUGGGCGCUCCAGGAGGACCAGAACCCCGCCCUCGACCCACAGCUCUAGGGGUUAACAGGGCGAGGUCGAAAUCGGCACCGGCAUCUGUCUCCAGCGAGAAGGGGAUGGCAGGCGGCACACCGAGCGGGGUGAAGCUUCCGCAGCGCGCGAGUAGUCGCGGUGCUACGGUGGCGGGAUGGGCCUAAACUCACGAAUCUUGGCUCUUGACGAGCAGCGGCGUAUGGGCGGCAGGGUGAGAGAUUUGAGGCGACGACAACAAGAGGAGCCCUUCCACGCCGGCAUUGAAGAUAUGAUGGUUUCCACACCGGCGUUGAAGAUCUCCAGGUCAAUUUGAUGGGAAACCUGCCCGACACCCCAGACCUCUACGGCAGGAACAAAAUAUAUGUGCUAAAGGAAGGUCAAGUAUCUACUUGCAGACCAACCCGUGCAGCGAUUCAUGCAUAUAGUGGCUUCUUCUCCGUAUGUGGUGACAGGCGUCGCAAUUGAGGGAGGCAGGACGCUGAUCUCGGUUUACCUGGACGACCUCACCAUCCUGUGUACUCGAGCUGGAUUGGCCAUGCUAUUGCAAUCUCAUGGUGGUGAACAACAGCUAGCACCAUGUCAUGUUUAAGGUCAAGACGACAUCUCCGAGGUAGUAUUUCGACGAACCAAACGUGAGCAUCGUCUAGCCGUGGGAUUCUUGCUCGAUAACAAGACACACAUGCUAAAAUUAAAGAAAGCUCUAUGAUAGUUGACAGUCACAUCAACAGUAUGUGUAAAAAAGGGGCUGAUACAGAGGUAGUUACUAUGUUCAUUUUUACGCAUGUUUGUCUCUCUUCGAAAAUUCUGUACUGUUGAUGUGUACGUAGAUGCUUUGUAAAAUUUUCUGGCCAGACUUGGAUUUGCCAGCAAAUUUUUUAUUUGACAUUUUUAUUUUAUUUUACUACAAUAUUAUUUAUUUGACAAGAAAAUGCACUUCCUAUUACUGUUAGUGCUGAAAAUUCUGUGCCAUGUUAGCGUCCUAGGGAUUCAAACAAUGACAUAAUAAAAUUUUAUUUCAUCACAUCACAUCGGAAGAUGCUCAUUUCUGUACUAAACUUGUUGUUCAUGUUUCCUUGGUAUCAUGUAGCAGAUCUCUCAGAUAGAAAAGUGAACUUACUUUUUCAGCUGAGACCAAAUAACUCUUGUGCUAUGUGGUGUCACCAAACGGUGUCAGUCAUAUUGUAGAUUGUUUCUUGGUAUCACAGUCAAAAGCUAUUAUAAAACCACUAUUAUACAUGCUUUUAGCACCUCAUCACGAGCCUUAUUGAGCUAUAGGCCUCCUGAAGCUUUAUAGAUGCCAAAUAUUCGACUUAUGAUCUAUAUGUCUUUAGAGAUGCUUAUUUAAAGCACUUUCCUUCCUUGGUCAUGUGCACUCUUAAUGCAAAAUAUUGCAUUUCUGAUUUAUGUUUUUCUUAGUCUUGUGUGUUCACGCUUCCAAGAGUUAAGAUGAUUUUCAGGUUAAUAAAUAUGUGGAAGCACAGAAUAAUUGUGCAUCCCGAUUUGAUUGCCAAUACACAGUGACAUAAGUGUUGAUAGAUGUGCACGAGAUAUGCGCAUUAUAUG